rnacentral:rRNA from 1 species
GACGAACGCUGGCGGCGUGCUUAACACAUGCAAGUCGAACGGUGAAGCGCCUUCCUUUUUGGUGGGUGUGGAUGAGUGGCGAACGGGUGAGUAACACGUGAGUAACCUGCCCCCUUCUUCUGGAUAACCGCAUGAAAGUGUGGCUAAUACGGGAUAUUCUGGGUCUGUCGCAUGAUGGGUCUGGGAAAGAUAUUGUUUCGGUGGGGGCUGGGCUCGCGGCCUAUCAGCUUGUUGGUGGGGUGAUGGCCUACCAAGGCGGUGACGGGUAGCCGGCCUGAGAGGGUGGACGGUCACACUGGGACUGAGACACGGCCCAGACUCCUACGGGAGGCAGCAGUGGGGAAUAUUGCACAAUGGGCGCAAGCCUGAUGCAGCGACGCCGCGUGAGGGAUGGAGGCCUUCGGGUUGUGAACCUCUUUCGCCAGUGAAGCAGGCCUGCCUCGUUUGUGGGUGGGUUGACGGUAGCUGGAUAAGAAGCGCCGGCUAACUACGUG